AGCGAACGCUGGCGGCAGGCCUAACACAUGCAAGUCGAACGAACCUUUCGGGGUUAGUGGCGGACGGGUGAGUAACACGUGGGAACGUGCCUUUAGGUUCGGAAUAACUCAGGGAAACUUGUGCUAAUACCGAAUGUGCCCUUCGGGGGAAAGAUUUAUCGCCUUUAGAGCGGCCCGCGUCUGAUUAGCUAGUUGGUUGAGGUAAUGGCUCACCAAGGCGACGAUCAGUAGCUGGUCUGAGAGGAUGAUCAGCCACAUUGGGACUGAGACACGGCCCAAACUCCUACGGGAGGCAGCAGUGGGGAAUCUUGCGCAAUGGGCGAAAGCCUGACGCAGCCAUGCCGCGUGAAUGAUGAAGGUCUUGGGAUUGUAAAAUUCUUUCACCGGGGACGAUAAUGACGGUACCCGGAGAAGAAGCCCCGGCUAACUUCGUG
rnacentral:rRNA from 1 species